rnacentral:tRNA from 1 species
AGCGGAAUCGUUCAGCGGCCAGGACAACCGGCUCUGACCCGGUUAACGAGUGUUCGAGUCACUCUUCCGCUACCA